rnacentral:rRNA from 1 species
AUGAGGGCUUUAUUUUGGAAUAUUAGAGGGUUCGGUGCUAGGGAGCGCCGCGAUCAACUCAAAGAUCUGGUUCGCUCUAACAUCAUUGAUUUCGUGGGGUUGGUUGAAACCUUUAAGGAAGCUUUUUCACCUAAUGAACUUUCUGCUAUCGCGGGCAUGGACAGAUUCAACUGGCACGUGUUACCUGCCUCGGGCCACUCGGGUGGGAUCUUGAUUGGCUCUAAUAAAGAUAUUUUUGAUUUUGUUGCCUUUGAUCAUGGGAUCUUUUGGGCUAGCUCUGUAGUUUGUCAUAAACCUAUGAAUACUCUUUGCGAGUUUAUCUUGGUAUAUGGGCCUACUGAUCAUUCUUUGUCCCCUUUAUUCCUCAAUGAGCUUUUUGUGAAGAUCGAGUCCUGCAAUCUCCCAAUGGUUAUCGGAGGUGACUUUAAUCUCCUUCAGUGUCCUUAUGAUAAAAGUAACGAUAUCUUCUCCUGGCCUCUGUUGAAUGCCUUUAAUGAUUUUAUCAGCGCCAAUGCUAUUCGUGAGAUGCCCCGGGGAGGAGCUCGCUUUACUUGGUCCAAUCACCAGGCUAAUCCGAUUAGAUCAGUUCUUGAUCGAGUCUCAUUUGUUCGAGGUGGGAUUCCAUGUUUCCCAGGGCCUUCCUUAGCGCCAAAUGCAUCAUUGGCUCUGACCAUACCCCCUUAA